rnacentral:SRP_RNA from 1 species
GCCAAGCGUGGUGGCGCGCGCCUGUAAUCCCAGCUACUUGGGAGGCUGAGACAGGAGAAUCGCUUGAACCCAGGAGGUGGAGGUUGCAGUGAGCCGACAUGGUGCCACUGCACUCCAGCCUGGGUGACAGAGCCAGACUCUGUCUCAA